rnacentral:rRNA from 1 species
UCGAGGGGCAUCGGGAUUGAAGCUUGCUUCAAUUGCCGGCGACCGGCGCACGGGUGCGUAACGCGUAUGUAACCUACCUAUAACAGGGGCAUAACACUGAGAAAUUGGUACUAAUUCCCCAUAAUAUUCGGAGAGGCAUCUCUCCGGGUUGAAAACUCCGGUGGUUAUAGAUGGACAUGCGUUGUAUUAGCUAGUUGGUGAGGUAACGGCUCACCAAGGCAACGAUACAUAGGGGGACUGAGAGGUUAACCCCCCACACUGGUACUGAGACACGGACCAGACUCCUACGGGAGGCAACAGUGAGGAAUAUUGGUCAAUGGACGCAAGUCUGAACCAGCCAUGCCGCGUGCAGGAAGACGGCUCUAUGAGUUGUAAACUGCUUUUGUACGAGGGUAAACUCACCUACGUGUAGGUGACUGAAAGUAUCGUACGAAUAAGGAUCGGCUAACUCCGUGCCAGCAGCCGCGGUAAUACGGAGGAUUCAAGCGUUAUCCGGAUUUAUUGGGUUUAAAGGGUGCGUAGGCGGUUUGAUAAGUUAGAGGUGAAAUCCCGGGGCUUAACUCCGGAACUGCCUCUAAUACUGUUAGACUAGAGAGUAGUUGCGGUAGGCGGAAUGUAUGGUGUAGCGGUGAAAUGCUUAGAGAUCAUACAGA